CUGACUAUAUUCUUUUUACUGAUGUGCUCAUUUUGUGCCAGUUGACUUGUAGUGAUCUUUUGAAUUUGCUUUGUAAUAUUCAUAUUUACCGUUCCUUUUUUGCUGACUGUCAGGAUUAUCAGGACACCUACAAUCAAAAUAGCCAGCUGAUAUUACUGAAAAUAAAAUUUGGCAAAUCUCCCUCUUGCCAUAUCUGUCAGAAACAUAAGAAUGGUAAA